GUCUAUGGCCAUACCAGCCACCCUGAACGCCUCUGAUCUCGGAAGCUAAGCAGGGUUGGGUGUGGUUAGUACUUGGAUGGGAGAAAGGUUAAAAGACACAAAGUUUAGGAUA
rnacentral:rRNA from 1 species